AAAACAAGAGCGAGAGAAAAAGAACUGAGCCUCGGAUUUUCAGGAACUGCAGUCCGAGUUCCCGGCCGAGCACCUUGGCUGCCGGGGGCCCCCCUCCUCCCUGGGGACACAGCUGUGAGCGAUCUGAGCCCGGGGACCCCAGGAGAACUGUGGGGGAGCUCCCCGCGCGGAAAUCCCCAGGGCUCGCAGGCAGGGCCCAGAGCGCGUCUCAGGUGAAAGCCGCUUCGCCCACGGGCUCCGCCGGCUGUAAGAAUCCCCGGCCCUCCCGGCCCUCCCCGGCCCUCCCAGUGACGACACCGGCCUCCCCUCCUCUGGGAGCAGGACGUGCCCAGCGCCCUCCCCACUUCCCCUCAGGAAGUCACAGGGGGCCGCAUACUUGGGGCACGUCCCUGCAUGUCCGGCUCCAAGAACAAAGCUCUAGGGAAUAUAGGAAAUUAGAUGACUUAAAGCCAAUGGAGCAGAGUUGGCGGCGCCCGCUCGUCGUUGUUUCCCUGGCUUGGCACAGGCGCGGGCGUCGGCCCGGUUCAGGCGACCAGCCCGCAGGACACGAUCCCUGAACACCUGUACCUAAGGGAAGUGUCCCUGCCGUCGCCUGUGUGUCGCCUUUCUUAGGGCUGAAGAGCCAGAUGCGUCCUAACAAAACUAGGAGAGAAGUCGGGUUGCUCGUGGAAAGGCGUUUCUACGUCUGCUAAUCUUCACCGUCUCCACAAUUUCUCAGAUUUUAAGGUAAGGAACCGAGUGGCUCUAGAAUCGUCGGCCUCAGAGAUGUCCCUGGGCUUUCCCCAUCAUCUUGGGACUGGCCGCUUUGCGAC
rnacentral:lncRNA from 1 species